GUGGGGAAUAUUGGGCAAUGGGGGAAACCCUGACCCAGCAACGCCGCGUGAAGGAAGAAGGUCUUCGGAUCGUAAACUUCUAUCCUUGGUGUAAAUAAUGAUGGUAGCCAAGAAGGAAGCCCCGGCUAACUACGUGCCAGCAGCCGCGGUAAUACGUAGGGGGCAAGCGUUGUCCGGAAUGAUUGGGCGUAAAGGGCGCGUAGGCGGCCUGGUAAGUCUGGAGUGAAAGUCCUGCUUUUAAGGUGGGAAUUGCUUUGGAUACUGUCGGGAUUGAGUGCAGGAGAGGUAAGUGGAAUUCCCGGUGUAGCGGUAAAAUGCGAAGAGAUCGGGAGGAACACCAGUGGCGAAGGCGACUUACUGGACUGUAGCUGACGCUGAGGCGCGAAAGUGUGGGGAGCAAACAGGAUUAGAUACCCGGGUAGUCC
rnacentral:rRNA from 1 species